AUCCACAAUCAAAGAAUUUAAAGAUGACUUGAAAGAGGUCCAUUUUGUUCUGUUCUUCGAUGAGAUUUACGACGUUUGGUUAAAGAAAGCCAAAGAAUUGCUUCUACCUUGGCCUGACAGUCAAGAACGAUAAGGAAAUCUUUUUCCUCUAGUUUACAAUAGGAGGGAAACUUUUCUGUCCAGUAUAACAACUUUCCAA